rnacentral:rRNA from 1 species
AUGCUGUCCGCCGGCCGCCGCCGUCUCUGCCUCUUCCCCUUCCCUCUCCGCCACUUCACUGCGGCCGUUUCCACCACCACCACCACCACCACCUCCGACGCUGCCGCUGCCGACCCCACUGUCUUCUACCUGGAAUCCACCUGCGCGCUCUCCCCCGCCGCCGCCGCCCGCGCUGCGGACUCCAUCCGCCUCGCCUCCCCGGAGUCCACUGCGCAGGCCGACGCCGUCCUCGACCUCCUCCGCCGGUAUGGCUUCACCGACGCCGAGAUAUCCACCACCGUCCGCAAGUUCCCCAUCGUCCUGGUCUCCGACCCCGUCAAGACACUCCAGCCCAAGCUCGACUUCCUCGCCUCCGUCGGCAUCAACGCGCCGCUCCUCCCCAGGCUCGUCUCCCUCAGCCCCGUUGUCCUCCACCGCAGCAUCCAGGACCAACUCGCCCCGCUCUUCGAAUCUCUCCGCGAGCUCCUCGGCUCCAAUGCCCGCGUCGUCACCGCGCUCCGCCAGAUGCCGUUCGUUGUCCGCUGCAGCCCCAACAGUACCCUCAACCUCGUGCUCCCCGCACUAAGAGAUGUCCACGGCUUGCCCCCGGAGGACGUCUCCAAGCUCGUCGCCGUCCACCCCGGCGUCAUCAUGCAGGGCCCCCACCGCUUGGCCGAGAUCGUCCAGGCCGUCAAGGACGUUGGCAUGGAACCCGGUGAGCCCAUGUUCGUCAACACAUUUUCCAUCAUUUCCAAGAUGAAGACCCCCACACUGGAGAGGAAGUAUGCACUCUACCAGAGCCUUGGCUUCGAGAAGGACAAUGUUGCCUUAAUGUUGCGGCGGUACCCACUCAUGAUGGCUAUCUCAGAGAAGAAGAUGAAGGAAAAUGUCGGAUUCUUGGUCGGAAAGGCGGGUCUGAGCCUGGAAGAUAUCGUGGCCUAUCCGAGCAUGCUGGUGCGGAGCUUGGAGAGCCAUCGCAGGAGGUGUGCGGUGCUCGCACUGCUGAGGAAGGAAGGUAAGCCAGAGGGGAAUCAUCAGCUGCGCAAGGUCCUCGUGGCUAAAAUGAAACGGUUCUCGCAGGUGUAUGUGCAGCCACACCAAAACGAGAUCCCUGAUGUCGUCCGGGCUCUCAACGGAGAGAUCCCUUUCGAGGGCUUCAAUGUGUUGGAGUAG